rnacentral:rRNA from 1 species
UUAGGAAUAUUCGUCAAUGGAGGAAACUCUGAACGAGCAAUGCCGCGUGAAGGAUGACGGUCCUAUGGAUUGUAAACUUCUGUUGUUAGGGAAGAACGACUUAAGUAGGAAAUGACUUAAGAGUGACGGUACCUUUCAAGAAAGCUCCGGCUAACUACGUGCCAGCAGCCGCGGUAAUACGUAGGGAGCAAGCGUUAUCCGGAUUUAUUGGGUGUAAAGGGUACGUAGGCGGCCUCAUAAGUCUGUGGUUUAAGCCCGAAGCUUAACUUCGGUUCGCCACAGAAACUGUUUGGCUUGAGUAUGGUAGAGGCAAGUGGAAUUUCUAGUGUAGCGGUUAAAUGCGUAGAUAUUAGAAGGAACACCAGUGGCGAAGGCGACUUGCUGGGCCAUUACUGACGCUGAGGUACGAAAGCGUGGGGAGCAAAUAGG